rnacentral:rRNA from 1 species
AUGUCUUCAAAAAGUAAUGUUCGCCGUUUGUCCCUUCAGAAUAGAAAUGAAGAUCAUCGAGCAAAGCCUUUCACAAAUAUCAUGAGUAUGUCACGAGUGAGGUCAAUUACUAUCUUUCCACCUGCUGUUAGUAUCAUGCUAGCUCUGUCAAGGUUUGAAGUUCUGCGUGUACUUGAUCUUUUGGACUGUAACCUUGGGGAAAGUAGCAGCCUGCAGCCUAACCUCAAGGGUGCUGGACACUUAAUUCACCUAAGGUACCAAGGUCUAUCAGGUACCGGAAUUAGUAAACUCCCGACUGAGAUAGGAAGCCUGCAGUUUUUGGAGGUAUUGGAUAUUGAAAGAAAUUAUGACCUAGAUGAAUUGCCGUCCACUGUUUGUAAUUUGAGAAGAUUAAUCUACCUAAGUGUUUAUCCCUGUAAGGUGGUUCCAGCUCCUGGUGUGUUGCAGAAUCUGGCUUCCAUAGAAGUGUUGAGGGGGGUCUUGAUCUCUCUGAACAUUAUUGCACAAGAGCUUGGCAAACUAGCAAGGCUGAGGGAGCUUCACAGUCGCUUCGAUGAUGGUAGUUUGGAUUUCUAUGAAGGUUUCGUGAAGUCUCUGUGCAACCUACAUCACAUCAAAAGUCUAAGUAUUGAAUGCAAUCCAAGAGAAACAUCUUUUGAACUGAUGGAUCUCUUGGGAGAACGCUGCGUGACUCCUGUACAUCUGCGCAAAUUUGUGUCGUGCAUGCCCAUCCAACUCUCUUCACUGCGAGGGUGGAUAAAGAGAGACCCCACACAUCUCUCGAACCUCUCCGAGUUAAUCCUCGAUUCAGUGAACGAAGUGCAGCAGGAGGACGUGGAAAUCAUUGGGGGGCUGUUAUCCCUUCGCUUUCUCAGAAUAAGGAGCACCCACCAAACACAACGGCUGCUAGUCAUCCGUGCAGAUGGGUUCCGCUGUCUGGUAGUCUUUAAGUUGGAUUGCGGGUCAGCCACGCAAAUAAUGUUUGAACCAGGAGCUUUGCCAAGGGCGGAAUCAGUUGAGCUCGGCCUGGGCGUGCGGGUGGCGAAAGAGGAUGGCAACUGUGCCUUCGACUUGGGCCUGCAGGGGAACCUGCUCUGCCUUCGGUGGGGUGUCAGGGUUUGGAUGUAUUGUGGUGGAGCAAGGAUUGGGGAGGCAAAGGAAGCAGAGGUUGCGGUGAGGCACGCCCUCGACGCCCAUCCCAGCCAUCCCCUGAUUUUGAUUGAGAUGAGGCCGCGUAUACAAGAAGGUGCUCAUGAUGACGAUUUGUGUGAGGACGAGGUGGACUGGUGGAGAACUGAUUUCUGA